rnacentral:rRNA from 1 species
CGUAGGUGGCAAGCGUUGUUCGGAAUUAUUGGGCGUAAAGAGUGCGUAGGCGGUUUUCUAAGUUUGGUGUGAAAUCUCCCGGCUUAACUGGGAGGGUGCGCCGAAGACUGGAAGGCUUGAGUAUGGGAGAGGUAAGCGGAAUUCCUGGUGUAGCGGUGAAAUGCGUAGAUAUCAGGAGGAACACCUGCGGUGUAGACGGCUUACUGGACCAUCACUGACGCUGAGGCACGAAAGCGUGGGUAGCAAACAGG